rnacentral:rRNA from 1 species
GCUCUUAUGGGUGGGGAGUGGCGGACGGGUGAGGAAUACAUCGGAAUCUACUUUUUCGUGGGGGAUAACGUAGGGAAACUUACGCUAAUACCGCAUACGACCUUCGGGUGAAAGCAGGGGACCUUCGGGCCUUGCGCGAUUGAAUGAGCCGAUGUCGGAUUAGCUAGUUGGCGGGGUAAAGGCCCACCAAGGCGACGAUCCGUAGCUGGUCUGAGAGGAUGAUCAGCCACACUGGAACUGAGACACGGUCCAGACUCCUACGGGAGGCAGCAGUGGGGAAUAUUGGACAAUGGGCGCAAGCCUGAUCCAGCCAUACCGCGUGGGUGAAGAAGGCCUUCGGGUUGUAAAGCCCUUUUGUUGGGAAAGAAAUGCAGCGGGCUAAUACCCUGCUGUUCUGACGGUACCCAAAGAAUAAGCACCGGCUAACUUAGUG